rnacentral:rRNA from 1 species
UGGAUAACUGUGGUAAUUCUAGAGCUAAUACGUGCUAAAAGCCCAUUUCCUUUGGUGAUGGGUGCAUUUAUUGGUGCAAAACUUUUCGUUAAAAAAUUUGCUUAAUCUGGAUAACCGAGCUUAUCGCACGAUCUUGUAUCGGCGAAAUUUCUGUCAAGUAUCUGCCUUAUCAACUGUCGUUGGUGCUGUAUUGGAGUACCACGGUAUUAACGAGUAACGGAGAAUCAGGGUUCGACUCCGGAGAGGGAGCCUUAGAAACGGCUACCAUGUCUAAGGAUAGCAGCAGGCGCGAAAAUUACCCAAUGUCAAAACGACGAGGUAGUGACGAGAAAUAACAAGACCGUUCUCAAUGAGGUCGGUCAUUGGAAUGGGUAAAAUCCAGAAACUUUAACGAGUAUCUACGAGAGGGCAAGUCUGGUGCCGGCAGCCGCGGUAAUUCCAGCUCUCGUAAGGUACAGAAUUAUUGCUGUGGUUAAAAAGUUCGUAGUUGGAUUGUCGAGUUUGCACGGGUCAAAUCUUUACGGAUUUGUACUCGUUGCUUUCCUAUUUGUGCGUUUAGCGCAAUGUUUGCUUGCAUUCGUUGUGCGGCGUACAGGAUUACUUUGAACGGCUCAAUUGCUUAAAGCACGUCUUAUGACUGAAUACCGGUGCAUGGAAUAAUAGAAAAAGGCUUCGGCCGGGUUUUGAUUGGUUUUGCCGGCUGAAACAAUGGUUAACAGAAACAGUCGGGGGCAUUCGUAUCGCUGCGCGAGAGGUGAAAUUCGUGGACCGUAGUGAGACGCCCAAAAGCGAAGGCACGUGCCAAGAGUGUUUUCAUUAAUCAAGAACGAAAGUUAGAGGUUCGAAGGCGAUUAGAUACCGCCCUAGUUCUAACCGUAAACAAUGCCAACUGUCGAUCCGCUUGUGGAUUCAAUUCAUAAGCGGGGAGGUUCCCGGAAACGAAAGUUUUUCGGUUCCGGGGGAAGUAUGGUUGCAAAACUGAAACUUAAAGGAAUUGACGGAAGGGCACCACCAGGAGUGGAGCUUGCGGCUUAAUUUGACUCAACACGGGAAAACUCACCCGGCCAGUACAUUGUAAGGAUUGACGGAUUGACAGCUUUUUCAUGAUUCGGUGAAUGGUGGUGCAUGGCCGUUCUUAGUUCGUGGAUCGAUUUGUCUGGUUUAUUCCGAUAACGAGCGAGACUUUGACUAUUAAAUAGUGCAGUUGUUUCUUUUGAUGCGACUGAUCACUUCUUAAAAGAAUUUGGGGUUUCCAACCUCAAGAGAUUGAGCAAUAACAGGUCUGUGAUGCCCUUAGAUGUUCGGGGCCGCACGCGUGCUACAAUGAUGGUGGCAGCGUGAUUGUCCUCUUCCGAAAGGAAUUGGCAAACAGUUGAGAUAUUAUUUUGGCUGGAAUUGAGUAUUGAAAUUUUCACUCAUGAACGAGGAAUUCCAAGUAAAUGCGAGUCAUCAACUCGCAUUGAUUACGUCCCUGCCCUUUGUACACACCGCCCGUCGCUGCCCGGGACUGGGUUAUCUCGAGAAAGCUAGGGAUCGUUGGAGUUUAAUACUUUCGGGUGUUGGCUUCGAUGAGAACGAGUUUAAUCGCGGUGGCCUGAACCGGGCAAAAGUCGUAAAAUCA